rnacentral:rRNA from 1 species
CUGCGGCAGCGACACUAUGUGUUGUUGGGUAGGGGAGCGUUCUGUAAGCCUGUGAAGGUGUGUCGUGAGGCAUGCUGGAGGUAUCAGAAGUGCGAAUGCUGACAUAAGUAACGAUAAAGCGGGUGAAAAGCCCGCUCGCCGGAAGACCAAGGGUUCCUGUCCAACGUUAAUCGGGGCAGGGUGAGUCGACCCCUAAGGCGAGGCCGAAAGGCGUAGUCGAUGGGAAACGGGUUAAUAUUCCCGUACUUGGUGUUACUGCGAAGGGGGGACGGAGAAGGCUAUGUUGGCCGGGCGACGGUUGUCCCGGUUUAAGCGUGUAGGUGUGUGUUCCAGGUAAAUCCGGUUCACUUUAACACUGAGGCGUGAUGACGAGGCACUACGGUGCUGAAGCAACAAAUGCCCUGCUUCCAGGAAAAGCCUCUAAGCAUCAGGUAACAUCAAAUCGUACCCCAAACCGACACAGGUGGUCAGGUAGAGAAUACCAAGGCGCUUGAGAGAACUCGGGUGAAGGAACUAGGCAAAAUGGUGCCGUAACUUCGGGAGAAGGCACGCUGACAC